AUUAGACGAAUCAUCUGGAAAGAUGAAUCAAAGAAGGUAAUAAUCCUGUAGUCGAAAAUGUUGUCUCUCUUGAGUGGAUCCUGAGUACGACGGAGCACGUGAAAUUCCGUCGGAAUCUGGGAGGACCAUCUCCUAAGGCUAAAUACUCUCUAGUGACCGAUAGUGAACCAGUACCGUGAGGGAAAGGUGAAAAGCACCCCGGAAGGGGAGUGAAAUAGAACCUGAAACCGUGUGCUUACAAGUAGUCAGAGCCCGUUAAUGGGUGAUGGCGUGCCUUUUGUAGAAUGAACCGGCGAGUUACGAUUUGAUGCAAGGUUAAGCAGUAAAUGUGGAGCCGUAGCGAAAGCGAGUCUGAAUAGGGCGUUUAGUAUUUGGUCGUAGACCCGAAACCAGGUGAUCUACCCUUGGUCAGGUUGAAGUUCAGGUAACACUGAAUGGAGGACCGAACCGACUUACGUUGAAAAGUGAGCGGAUGAACUGAGGGUAGCGGAGAAAUUCCAAUCGAACCUGGAGAUAGCUGGUUCUCUCCGAAAUAGCUUUAGGGCUAGCCUCAAGUGAUGAUUAUUGGAGGUAGAGCACUGUUUGGACGAGGGGCCCCUCUCGGGUUACCGAAUUCAGACAAACUCCGAAUGCCAAUUAAUUUAACUUGGGAGUCAGAACAUGGGUGAUAAGGUCCGUGUUCGAAAGGGAAACAGCCCAGACCACCAGCUAAGGUCCCAAAAUAUAUGUUAAGUGGAAAAGGAUGUGGCGUUGCCCAGACAACUAGGAUGUUGGCUUAGAAGCAGCCAUCAUUUAAAGAGUGCGUAAUAGCUCACUAGUCGAGUGACACUGCGCCGAAAAUGUACCGGGGCUAAACAUAUUACCGAAGCUGUGGAUUGUCCUUUGGACAAUGGUAGGAGAGCGUUCUAAGGGCGUUGAAGCA
rnacentral:rRNA from 1 species